rnacentral:rRNA from 1 species
AACGAACGCUGGCGGCAGGCUUAACACAUGCAAGUCGAACGGAAGCGCCGUGCUUUCUUGGGCUCACGGGUGGCGAGCGGGGGACGUAUCAGGUAUGUACCGUGCCCUAGUUUUUGGUGUAGGUUAAGGAAGGUGGACUUACUCCAGUACCGGAGACCUCCUACGAGGGUGGGGAUGGGAACGUUUCGGCGGUUGGGGAUGGAUGCGCGGAUUACCGGCUUGUUGGUGGGGUAGUGGCUUACCAAGGCUUUGACGGGUAGCCGGCCUGAGAGGGGGACCGGCCACAUUGGGACUGAGAGACGGCCCAGACUCCUACGGGAGGCAGCAGUGGGGAGUAUUGCACAAUGGGCGGAAGCCUGAUGCAGCAACGCCGCGUGCGGGAUGACGGCCUGCGGGUUGUAAACCGCUGUCGCCUGUGACGAAGCGUGAGUGACGGUAAUGGGUAAAGAAGCACCGGCUAACUACGUG